GACGAACGCUGGCGGCGCGCUUAACACAUGCAAGUCGAGCAAGAACCAGACCUUCGGGUCUGGGGACAGCGGCGAACGGGUGAGUAACACGUGGGUAAUCAACCCUCGGUACUGGGAUAGCCCGGGGAAACCCGGAUUAAUACCGGAUGGCCCCUCGGAUCUUCGGUUCUGAAGGAAAAGGUAGCUUCGGCCUCCGACCGAGGACGAGCCCGCGGCGGAUGAGCUUGUUGGGGGGGUAACGGCCUCCCAAGGCGGCGAUCCGUAGCUGGUCUGACGGGACGAUCAGCCACAGUGGGACUGAGGCACGGCCCAGACUCCUACGGGAGGCAGCAGGGGGGAAUCUUGCGCUAGUGCGGGAACCCGUGACGCAGCGACGCCGCGUGAGGGAAGAAGGCCUUCGGGUUGUAAACCUCUUUCAGGAGGGACGAAGCUACUCGGGUUAAUAGCCCGGAGGGUGACGGUACCUCCAGAAGAAGCCCCGGCUAACUACGUGCCAGCAGCCGCCGUAACAC
rnacentral:rRNA from 1 species